CCUGGAGAGAGCUGAGUUCAGAGCAGAGUGUUCUGAUCGUCCAGGAGCUGGGUGUGUUGUGUUUCUCUCCUUAUUCCAGCUCGCCAGCCUCUAAGCAGCAGUGGGAUGGAGGAAGGUGUCAUCCCUGGCCAGUGUGUCUGGUGGCCGACAUACCGCUGCAUGUGUGUUCCCACCCUCCUCGGAGCUACAUCCAGCAGACUCUCAUGGACCCUAUAGGGAGCACACCCACCCAACUUCUGGGGCUGCCUUGCUUAACUCGACCCCUGCAUCUCAGUUUCACAUGAGGACAAAGGAAAGCUAAGCCGUGCUCUGUUCCAGCCUUGUCCAAGUCACGUCUAAGUCAUUCUGUUAUUGUUUUUCUCUCCAGUCUCAUAAAUAAGGCCUCGCUAAUGGCAGGGAGGGAAUCCAGAGGGCAGGAACAGCAUUACAUCAUCACAUUACCUACGCUGAUGCAUUUCCAAGGCCAACAAACUCAAUUAGCUCAUUGAUAAUAGCUGUACCAGCAGUGGGACUCCUGCAGCCAAGUCUAUUGUUCCGAGGAAGGACCGGAAAACAAAUGACAGUGCAGUCCGCCAUGCAGAGCCACCGGCAAACUAACCCAAAGUUGCAGCUCCAUACCACGUGAGGUUCACUUUAAAUAAUUUUGAGCUGCUGCUUAUGUUGAGU
rnacentral:lncRNA from 1 species